AAAUUGAAGAGUUUGAUCAUGGCUCAGAUUGAACGCUGGCGGCAGGCCUAACACAUGCAAGUCGAACGGUAACACAGAGGAGCUUGCUCCUUGGGUGACGAGUGGCGGACGGGUGAGUAAUGUCUGGGAAACUGCCCGAUGGAGGGGGAUAACUACUGGAAACGGUAGCUAAUACCGCAUAACGUCGCAAGACCAAAGAGGGGGACCUUCGGGCCUCUUGCCAUCGGAUGUGCCCAGAUGGGAUUAGCUAGUAGGUGGGGUAACGGCUCACCUAGGCGACGAUCCCUAGCUGGUCUGAGAGGAUGACCAGCCACACUGGAACUGAGACACGGUCCAGACUCCUACGGGAGGCAGCAGUGGGGAAUAUUGCACAAUGGGCGCAAGCCUGAUGCAGCCAUGCCGCGUGUAUGAAGAAGGCCUUCGGGUUGUAAAGUACUUUCAGCGAGGAGGAAGGUGUUG
rnacentral:rRNA from 1 species